ACAUUUAGCGUGUUGUACAUUUAUCGUGAGCUGUUUAUCAGUAUGCUUUGCUGCCUCUUGUAUUAUUGAGUAUUGAAGAUCAAAAUGUCAACUGUCAAGUGGCUUCUGUACAGUGGUGGCUUAAUGAGGACUUAAAAACCACAAUCAGUCAAGUGUUUUUAGUAUUGCUGUUUUCAAACUUUUGAAUAAAGUUGCAGCUGGUUGUCAUUUC